rnacentral:rRNA from 1 species
UACGGAGGGGGCAAGCGUUAUUCGGAAUUAUUGGGCGUAAAGAGCUCGUAGGCGGUUUGUCACGUCUGCUGUGAAAUCCCGAGGCUCAACCUCGGGCCUGCAGUGGGUACGGGCAGACUGGAGUGCGGUAGGGGAGAAUGGAAUUCCUGGUGUAGCGGUGGAAUGCGCAGAUAUCAGGAGGAACACCGAUGGCGAAGGCAGUUCUCUGGGCCGUAACUGACGCUGAGGAGCGAAAGCGUGGGGAGCGAACAGG